rnacentral:rRNA from 1 species
GACGAACGCUGGCGGCGUGCUUAACACAUGCAAGUCGAACGGAAAGGCCCUGCUUUUGUGGGGUGCUCGAGUGGCGAACGGGUGAGUAACACGUGAGUAACCUGCCCUUGACUUUGGGAUAACUUCAGGAAACUGGGGCUAAUACCGGAUAGGAGCUCCUGCUGCAUGGUGGGGGUUGGAAAGUUUCGGCGGUGGGGGAUGGACUCGCGGCUUAUCAGCUUGUUGGUGGGGUAGGGGCUUACCAAGGCGUUGACGGGUAGCCGGCCUGAGAGGGUGACCGGCCACAAUGGGACUGAGAUACGGCCCAGACUCCUACGGGAGGCAGCAGUGGGGAAUAUUGCACAAUGGGCGGAAGCCUGAUGCAGCAACGCCGCGUGCGGGAUGACGGCCUUCGGGUGGUAAACCGCUUUCGCCUGUGACGAAGCGUGAGUGACGGUAAUGGGUAAAGAAGCACCGGCUAACUACGUG